AUGUGUGUCCCUAAGAGUUGGGGCGGUAUGGGUUUCCGUGACAUACACAGUUUUAACUUGGCUAUGCUUGCUAAGCAAUGUUGGCGACUGAUUGAUAAUUAUGACUAUUUGUGUACCAAGGUUUUGAGAAAAAAAUAUUACCCUUCCGGUGGUUUUCUUAAUUGUGCUCUAAAGAAGGGAUCAUCCUACGCAUGGCAAAGUAUUUGGUCAGGGAUCCAGGCUUUCAAGAAAUGA
rnacentral:rRNA from 1 species